UCCCUGGUGGCUCAGAUGGUAAAGCGUCUGCCUACAAUGUAGGAGACCCGGGUUCAAUCCCUGGAUUGGGAA
rnacentral:tRNA from 1 species